AUUAUUGUUACUCUAUGACAAUCAAAAUCUCACCUGUCCAAUUACCAACGUUUGAAGUUGUCUAUCAAGUGUAAUUUUAACCAAACGUUUCACAGUUCGUGAUCCGUACCGCUUUGAGGUUCCGCCUUAUAGAGUUAUCUCUUAAAUAACCUGCCGUUGUACCAAGCGACGACAUUCCAUUAAACGAAAGGAGACAAAAAAAAAAGAAGCUGCGGUGAUGAAACUCCAUUAGACAAAAGAAGAAGAAGCGACCAAACUAAUUGCUUGUAUUUUUGACAAUAGAACCAGCUUGCUACAAGAAUAUCUUCUGGAAAUUGGAUGUUAAUGAAAAAUCAGGACAUCCCUGCUGGUUCAGUAGACUGUGGAGUAGACAUGUUAAUGGUGUUUGAAUAUUAACUGUAAGCUUUAUGUAACUUUACAUUUGUGUUUAGAUUGUGUAGGAUUUCAGUACUUUUUCUCUUAUUCUCUCUCAGUCUGCUCUUUAUCUGACUAUGGAGGAACCCUUUGAUUUUACUGUCAGUCUUUUAAAGAUGAUGAUAAUAUACUGUAUAUAUAUUUUUUCUUCAUGUGUGGCAUACCUUUAAUUGUGGCAUUAAUUUAACUUGCCCUCCACUAUUAAUGACACCCCUUAUAAAAAUGUUAAUUUUAAAAAUAUUUAUUUCUUGAUGAGGGCUUUGUUUUUCUUUGAAUGAAAUUGUUUCAAUUAAAAGUCUGAUGUUUCUAAUUUUUUCAGUGCAUGGUGACAUUUCUUCAGCAAACAGGGAUUUUAUUUGUAACCCUUCUUACUAAUUUUUACAAGG